ACUCCUACGGGAGGCAGCAGUGGGGAAUUUUGGACAAUGGGCGCAAGCCUGAUCCAGCAAUGCCGCGUGCAGGAUGAAGGCCUUCGGGUUGUAAACUGCUUUUGUACGGAACGAAAAGCCCUGGGUUAAUACCCUGGGGUCAUGACGGUACCGUAAGAAUAAGCACCGGCUAACUACGUGCCAGCAGCCGCGGUAAUACGUAGGGUGCGAGCGUUAAUCGGAAUUACUGGGCGUAAAGCGUGCGCAGGCGGUUUUGUAAGACAGAGGUGAAAUCCCCGGGCUCAACCUGGGAACUGCCUUUGUGACUGCAAGGCUAGAGUACGGCAGAGGGGGAUGGAAUUCCGCGUGUAGCAGUGAAAUGCGUAGAUAUGCGGAGGAACACCGAUGGCGAAGGCAAUCCCCUGGGCCUGUACUGACGCUCAUGCACGAAAGCGUGGGGAGCAAACAGGAUUAGAUACCCUGGUAGCGUCGUCU
rnacentral:rRNA from 1 species